GAAAAUAAAAGCUUCUUGUUUGUGUAUGAUGGGAGAUUCAAAGAUUUCUACUCUCAAGGGUGAAAAUACAUACACAUAUAUUAUGCAUAUUAAAUAACUUGGGCUGGAGGUAGAAGAAAACCUGGUAAUUAUUUUCUAAAUAUAAAGUUAAUUCAUAUUUAAAAUUUCAAAUUAAUUUGCAUUGUAGAGUGGAACAUUUUAAAACUCAGUAAAUGAGUGCUAUUGAAAUUUUGGUUAAAACUAAAGAACGCGAACACUUAUCUUAGGUGGAGUUUCAUUGUCAUGACCAAAUCAACUGACCCAGGACCUGUGCACAUAUUUUAGAUGGCACUGCCUCUCACCUGUUUAUACAAAACUGAAAAUCAAGAAGGAAUAUAUGAUCAAGAAGAGUGGGGAAAAGCAAACUCCUUUCUAAUCUUGGAGGAUGGAGAAGAGGAGAGAAACAGGAAAUGAGAUGGAAGGAGGAAAGACGUCACCAAGGAGGUGUCUCCAUGUCUCUUCCUGAGACUCCAGCCCACGUAAAGGACCAAAUUAAAUAAAACGCCUUAUUGAUCUGGAUUGAAUUUCAAUUUGCUAAGGUUGGUGCCAGCCAACUCCUGUCCUGCAAUGUCUGAAGAGAAAUGCUUGCAAGUCCAAUAACCUAUUCAUCACAGGGGGUGUCUCGACCCCAGUCUUGUCCUCCGAAUCAGUAGUACAGUGCCUCAAAAAGCCCUCAGAACCACGUCUGCCUGCCAAGGCAAAAGCAGAUACAAAAGAAGAGAAGUCACAUGGCGUUAUCUCCAAAAGACUCUGCUUAUCUUGAAUACUUGAAAGACAGAAUGAGUCUUGAUGAGGAAGAAUUACAGUCUUAGCAUAUUCAGGACGCCCUGGCUACCUCAGUAAGGCAUGUUGAAUAGGGCAUCUGGUGAGAGAUGGUGAAUCCUUCAAGCAGCCACUGUUCAUCUUGCUCCCACCACAUGGAAGCCACUAUAAUAGACAUUCAGACAAAUAAAGAGGAAGAUCGAUAUGAAAA